rnacentral:rRNA from 1 species
UACGAAGGGGGCGAGCGUUGUUCGGAAUUACUGGGCGUAAAGGGCGCGUAGGCGGCGAUCCGAGUCAGAUGUGAAAGUCCUGGGCUUAACCUGGGGACUGCAUUUGAUACUGGAUUGCUUGAAUUCGGGAGAGGAUAGCGGAAUUCCCAGUGUAGAGGUGAAAUUCGUAGAUAUUGGGAAGAACACCGGUGGCGAAGGCGGCUAUCUGGACCGACAUUGACGCUGAGGCGCGAAAGCGUAGGGAGCAAACAGG